CCAUGCUGUCUGAGGAGCUGCUUUAUAGAUACUUGGCAUUUCAAAAGAAACAAUGGUCUGGCAAAAAAUCAUUCAGGAUUUUUGGAUGUGUCUUGCAGCCACAAAGUUUUCAGGUAAGGUCUAGGUGUGGUAUAUUACAAGGCAGAUAGAUGUUAGGCUCACAGACAUUAGGUAUAUUCUAGUGUUACUUAGAAAGUUUUUUUUUUUUUUUUAUUAUGUCUUCAAGUGCACUAGCAGUGGUAAAAACUCACUGUCUCCUCAAGCUUUUCUCUAAAGAGCACUGAUAUCUCACAAAUGUUAUUUAUGGCUAGUGGGUCAGAAGAAGAGGACCAAAGUCUUAUAUGUUUUAAGAAUAGGAUUUUCAUCUGAAAUCAAUUCAGACUAACAGUUUAAGAAUAAAUAGAAAUGCUUCUGUUUGUGCAAAUGCUUCCACAUAGAGAUUUUGCCCAAUAACUAUCAACUCUAUUGUGCCUAAAGAAUAAGUUCUUGUUCAUCAGCUGACAUGUGACUUACUAACUGAGUGUACACAUAUUCUAUUCCAGUAGGUCAAAAGAUUUGUUUUAAGUCACCACUGCUAGGAAUUUAGGCAAAGCCAUAUUAUGUUGUACCACAAUGGUCUAGAAGCAUGGAGGCAGCUAUGGUGGAAUUCAUCUUGCACGAAUUUAAGAGUUGACAAAGGUAAAACUGAACUAGUAGACACAUUCAUAAGUGGAAGAAGUAGAUGCAUAAGUGGAAGAUGGUGUGAGAAACUUAUCCUCCUAUUAGAUGAGAUUUGUAAGAGUAUGGUUUCUUCAGUGGAUGAAGUUUUAAAGCAAAAGUUUUAAGUAUCAUUUCGAAAAUUAUAAAAUAACCUCCUUUGGUUUAGAGUACUAAAAGUAAUGAAGUCCAAUGGACAGAAUAAUGUCUUAUCAUUAUCCAGACAGUGUAAAGGAACACUUUUUGUUAUUGAAUCUGCCACUUUUCUUUCAUAAGGAUGAAUAAAAAAUGGCACAUAUUAUAGCCUGGAUAAAUA
rnacentral:lncRNA from 1 species